CCGCGGAACUCCGGUGUCCGCAACGCACGUCUGCGUCUGCCUCCCUGCUGCCUAAUGGCGGACGUCCCGCGCGGACGUCCGCCGUUGUGGAUGCUCUAACAUGUAGAUACACUCUACAUUUCAUUCCAUUAAAAUUGACAUUUUUUUUAAUCAAAAUUCAUACUGAUAAACAUUUUUAAAAACUUUUCUGAUUUCACAUGAGGUCCAAAAACAAUGGCAAAUGUGCAUUGGGUCAAAUUUAUCCAAUCCAUGAUAACAAGCCCGAACAAACGGUCCGAAUUCAAGGCCCAUUCAAAAUACAAUAAUUUUUUUCUUUUUCCAACUCGAGCUAUUGCAUUACACUACGUAAUCGGAUUUCCAGCGCCGUCGCUAGAGAAUUAAAGUAAUCGGAUUGGCCGGAGGCGCGAGGCGGCGGAGUGAUGGCCGCUAUCAAGGAGCUAACACGCGAUCUAGAGAACAAAGCCACCGAUUUCAGAAAACUUGAGAAAGAUAUUCAGAAGAACCAGCAAGUGAAAAAGAAGUACACCAUUCAGCUCGGCGAAAACGAGCUCGUGCUCAAGGAACUGGAUUUGUUGAACGAUGACACGAAUGUGUACAAAUUGAUUGGUCCGGUGCUAGUGAAGCAGGAUUUGGCUGAGGCUAAUGCCAAUGUUCGGAAGCGGAUUGAAUAUAUCUCUGCCGAAUUGAAACGCUUAGAUAGUACCCUUCAGGAUUUACAAGAAAAGCUAAGUAGCAAGCAAGAAUCGAUUGCCAAGCUACAACAAAGAAUCCAGACUCUCCAAGCUGGAAAAGCAAAGGCCUAAUAUGUACGUGCAACCCCUGUCACUUGGUUCAGUUGAACAUAGAUGUGGCCUCUUCAUAUCAAAAUUGCAGUUCAUACAUUAAUAUUUUCUUUUGUGGGGAAAGGAAUACGUGCUAGCCAUAGAAAUGCUCAAAUUUGGUAUCAAAUGAACUCUCUAGAGAUGUCACAUUUAUAGUAAGUCGCACGUUUCUCCUUCGGCCGCAGAAUAUUGUUUUUCGAAUCUUUAGAAUAUAGAAGUAUUUGAAACCUGGUAUAUUUGUCUUGUUACUAGUGAUUAUUCCAUGCCUACAUACGGUUCAUUCAUACAUGUAUAAAUUGAGUGGAGAAUUUUGUUUACUGCAGGAAAAAUAUUCUAAUGAUUACAGGUUUCUGUAAAAAUGAUGGUUUUUUUCAAAUUCAAAUGUCUGAAUUUGGACAACCAUCUUCGAUGCCAUAUUAACUGGCAAUCAGCUUAUGUAUCUGUGGGUAAGGCAGAACAUAGUGGCUGCUCUCUCAUCUCUCACUUACCACAUUCAUGAAGCAACUUCUGAAUGGAAGGCAUGAUUUUGAAGCUGGACAAUCAUGUAUAAAUUCUCAUGCAUAUAUACCAUAAUGACAUUCUUGAAUCUUGAAACUUAAGGCCCCACGUAGCACUCAGGACCGAUUAUGUGUUUGCGUACAGCUUACUUGAUAGAGAUCUUUUAGAUUUUGGUCUUGUUAGUGUGUUGCAGGUUAUUUUAUGCAGUUUUCUUUCCAGUUAUAGAUCAAAAUUUGUUAUUUGGGACAUGUUUCUGUUAAUGGCAGACAGUGUUUGUCACUGAUGGAACUCCACUUCCCGUCCGACUUGCAUGUGUUAAGCAUACCACAAGCGUUCAUCCUGAGCCAGGAUCGAACUCUCCAUGAGAUUCAUAGUAAUUACAAGAAUUGUGUGGCUUCACCAACAAUCUGAACAUGUCAUAUGCUAUUUGAAAGUUAUAGUACUUUUGUUAAUAUGAAUAUAAUCACAUGCUAUUUUAAUGGUACUAUGAUGGUGAUUUUAAAGAUGUUUGCGAAAA